AAAUAGAUACCCUGGUAGUCCACGCCCUAAACGAUGUCAACUAGCUGUUGGGCCUUCGGGCCUUGGUAGCGCAGCUAACGCGUGAAGUUGACCGCCUGGGGAGUACGGUCGCAAGAUUAAAACUCAAAGGAAUUGACGGGGACCCGCACAAGCGGUGGAUGAUGUGGAUUAAUUCGAUGCAACGCGAAAAACCUUACCUACCCUUGACAUGUCUGGAAUCCCGAAGAGAUUUGGGAGUGCUCGCAAGAGAACCGGAACACAGGUGCUGCAUGGCUGUCGUCAGCUCGUGUCGUGAGAUGUUGGGUUAAGUCCCGCAACGAGCGCAACCCUUGUCAUUAGUUGCUACGAAAGGGCACUCUAAUGAGACUGCCGGUGACAAACCGGAGGAAGGUGGGGAUGACGUCAAGUCCUCAUGGCCCUUAUGGGUAGGGCUUCACACGUCAUACAAUGGUCGGGACAGAGGGGUCGCCAACCCGGCGAGGGGGGAGCCCGAAUCCCCGAGAAACCCCGAUCGUAGUCCGGAUCGCAGUCUGCAACUCGACUGCGU
rnacentral:rRNA from 1 species